rnacentral:rRNA from 1 species
AUUGAACGCUGGCGGCAGGCCUAACACAUGCAAGUCGAGCGGAUGAAGGGAGCUUGCUCCUGGAUUCAGCGGCGGACGGGUGAGUAAUGCCUAGGAAUCUGCCUGGUAGUGUGGGAUAACGUCCGGAAACGGGCGCUAAUACCGCAUACGUCCUGAGGGAGAAAGUGGGGGAUCUUCGGACCUCACGCUAUCAGAUGAGCCUAGGUCGGAUUAGCCAGUUGGUGGGGUAAAGGCCUACCAAGGCGACGAUCCGUAACUGGUCUGAGAGGAUGAUCAGUCACCCUGGAACUGAGACACGGUCAAGACUCCUACGGGAGGCAGCAGUGGGGAAUAUUGGACAAUGGGCGAAAGCCUGAUCCAGCCAUGCCGCGUGUGUGAAGAAGGUCUUCGGAUUGUAAAGCACUUUAAGUUGGGAGGAAGGGCAGUAAGUUAAUACCUUGCUGUUUUGACGUUACCAACAGAAUAAGCACCGGCUAACUUCGUG